UGCUUCCAAGAUAUUAAUGACAUGCCAC
rnacentral:piRNA from 1 species